AUUGAACGCUGGCGGCAUGCCUUACACAUGCAAGUCGAACGGUAACAGGUCUUCGGAUGCUGACGAGUGGCGAACGGGUGAGUAAUACAUCGGAACGUGCCUAGUAGUGGGGGAUAACUACUCGAAAGAGUGGCUAAUACCGCAUGAGAUCUACGGAUGAAAGCAGGGGAUCGCAAGACCUUGUGCUACUAGAGCGGCCGAUGGCAGAUUAGGUAGUUGGUGGGAUAAAAGCUUACCAAGCCGACGAUCUGUAGCUGUGCUGAGAGGACGAUCAGCCACACUGGGACUGAGACACGGCCCAGACUCCUACGGGAGGCAGCAGUGGGGAAUUUUGGACAAUGGGCGCAAGGCUGAUCCAACAAUGCCGCGUGCAGGAUGAAGGCCUUCGGGUUGUAAACUGCUUUUGUACGGAACGAAAAGCCCUGGGUUAAUGCCCUGGGGUCAUGACGGUACCGUAAGAAUAAGCACCGGCUAACUACGUGCCAGCCGCCGCAGUAA
rnacentral:rRNA from 1 species